CAAGGCCAAGCACACUUGGGUAGGAGCAACCCCUGGUACCAGCACAGGCUGGGCAUGAACAGCCUCAGAGCAGCCCUGCCCAGAAGGGCUUGGGGGUGCUGUGGGUGAGAGGCUGCACAUGGCCCAGCCAUGGCACUCACAGCCCAGAGAGCCAAACGUGUCCUGGGCUGCAUCCAGAGCCCCGUGGGCAGCAGGGCAGGGAGGGGAUUCUGCCCCUCUGCUCUGCUCUGCUGAGACCCACCUGGAGCACUGCAUCCAGCUCUCAGGUCUGUGCUAUAAAAAAAGUACAAACCUGUGUGCUGGUUUAGAGUACAGUGGCUAGGGUAGAGUUAAUUUUCUACAGAGCUGGCUUUCUUCACAGUUAUGUGGCUGUGUUUUGAGUUUGUGCUGAACACAGUGUUAAUAACAUAGACAUGUUUUUGUUAUUGCUGAGUGGUAAGAAAGAGCCAAAGCCUUUUCUGCUUCUCAUACCACCACACUGGCAAGAAGACUUGGGGUGCAGAGGAAGCUGGGAGUAGACACAGCCAAGACAGGUGACCAAACUCAUCAAACUGAUUCCAGACCAUAUGAAAUCAUGCUCAGUAUCUAAAGUGUUGAGAAGGAGGUAGGGAGACAUUUGGAGUGAUGGUAUUUGUCUUCCCAAGUAACCAUUAUGUGUGAUAGAUCCCUGGCUCUCCUGAAGAUGGCUGAACACCUGCCUGCCCAUGGGAAGCAGUGGAUUAAUUCCUUGUUUUGCUUUGCUUGCAUGUGUGGCUUUUGCUUUUCCUAUUAAGCUCUCUUUAUCUCAAGCCACACAUUUUCUCACUUUUACUGCUUCAAUUCUUGGCCCAAUCCCAUCAGGGAGAGUGGCUGCCUGGGGCUUGGCUGCUGGCUGGGGCUAAACCACUACAGCCUGUCAGAGAGGUGGUGGAUGCCCCUUCCCUGGAAACAUCAAGACCAGGUUGGACAAGGCCCUGAGCCACCUGCUGUAGUUGAAGAUGUCCCUGCUCGCUGCUGGGGCGUGGAACCAGAUGCUCUUUACAGGUCCCUCCCAACCCAAGCCAUUCUGAUUCCAUGAUUCAAUAAAGAGAAGAAUUCACUCCUCUGAAAGUCCUUACUGAUUCCUCUGUUCCCAUCUUGCAACCCCUGCUCUGCACAUUUUUCUUGAGGAGGGAGAGGCCUCCACCCCAUAGGCCUUUUCUGCUUUACCCCACUCUCAUACCUAAGGGGCAGCAUGAAGAGAGAAAUAGCUAAAACUUGCCCUUUUUUUGGUUCUUCUUGACCACUGUUUUCAAAGCCUCAGGCAAGAUCUGAGCCAUGCAUCUUCAUCUACACCUUGCUGGGCCUGCAUUUGAGUUACUGGCAGAAGAUGAGUGCAUUGAUCCUGGAGACAAGCCCACAGAGAUCACCCAAGGCAAUGUUUGCUGCCACUGUGGGAAUGAUGGGCUGCCAACAGCUCUGUGGCCUCUGCUGGAGAUUUGCACCCAACCAGGGCAAUGGCACUUCAGGAAGGAGAGGAAAUAAUCUUGGCCCUUCUCUCUGUCUUCCAUACCCCUACAAUGGUCUUGCUCGCAGGAAGAAAGAAAUAAAUGAGGAAGAGAGAUAUUAAAAACAGCUGAUAAUAACAAAGCAAAGGACCUAGAAGUUUUCAAGUCAGAUUUAACCGAUUGUAUUAGUGGCACCUUGGGGUCCAGUUUACAGUGACAAGUUCUGCUGCUGGAGACUGGAUUAAUGGUAUGUGUAGCUUCCUCCUCUCCCAGUGAGUCUUGUCUUGCCUGGAGACCUAUGUUCCCACAUCAGACCCUAUUUCUUGUUCUGUGAGCCCAAAGAACAAACUGAUUCAUUCAGGUGAAAAUAAAAGAAAAUAUAAAAAGGGACAAUACUGUUUGUGGCAGAGCACACCCCAUGUAAAGUGCUGCUUGCAGGUGAGCUGUGACCACCCAUGGGAGAGCAGCUGAAGGAGGAGGAGAAGAAGGCUUCAUCCUUUCACGAUGAUAUAUCAGAGGUGAUUGGAGCAUGAGGCAGGUUGAGACAAAGCCUGUGCUGGAGGCUGACUGCAAAAAAAGAUGUUUUGAGGGCAGUACAGUACCAAAAGAGCUUGGCUCCUGUACAUUUUUCUCCACGCAUGAGCAAAUCCAUGUUUUACCAGCAAGCUGGGAUGCCAUAUUAAUAGACCAGGUCUUUGCUGGCUGGCAUCAGCACAGAAGUCACAGCUUGAGUUAUGUCUAUCAACUAAGGAGAACUUAAGAAGCAUGUGAAGAUCCAUUAAUAUGUCCUGCGGAGUGCAACAAAGGUGGUGAAAAGGCUGGAUGAAUGUCUUUUGAUGAGGAGCUGAGGACUUUGGGCUUGUCUAGUUUGGAGAAAGGGGGUUUGAGGUAAUGCUCUCUACAGAUUCUUGAAGAGGGAAAGUGGAGAGGGAAGUACUCAGCUCUUCCAGGUAUCCAGUGAUAGGACACGUGGAAUGGUUCAAAGACGAGCCAGGAGAGGUUUAGACUUGGCAUCAGGAAGCGUUUCUUUGCAGAGUGGGUGGACAGAAUAGGCAAGCUAUUGAGGUGGCUAAUGCCCCCAGCCUGUCAGUGUUUAAGGGACAUUUGGAUAAUGCCCUGAACAACAUUCUUGAACUUUUGGUCAGCCCUGAAUUGGUCAGGCAGUUGAAUUGGAGGAUUGCUGUAGUCCCUUCCAACAGAAACAGAAACAGUCAAUUCUUUUCUGUUCUAUUCCACUGACAUAAAUAAAAAACAUGGGAUCGAACUUCCACCAGAAAACACACACAGCAUGGUGCUGCCCGGCCUGCAAGCAGUUUCUCUGAAAAACAGUGUUUCGUGAUCCAGCCCUCCAGCCCCCCAUUGAGGAAGUGAGAGCUGAAUUAAGCAGCUUUCAGUAAAUCUGAGCUCAGUCCAAGGUGGUGAAGAGUGAGCCACAGCCACUGACCUGUUCCAGUGGCUGACCUGUCCCUGUAGGGGAGCACACACUUUAUUUCAGCAAUCAGUCAAGCUCCUGAUGGAUGAGGGAUGUUUCUCCAUAUUACCCCAGUGGCACUGAGCAAGAACUCAUCCCAGCUCCAUGAGAAGAUUGAUGCCAGUCCCCACAGGGACAUUGUCCAGGGUGAGAUGGGAUUUUGCAAGGGCUGGAGUAUUUUAUAGCUUGGAGGCAAUCAGAAGCCCUGGUCCAGGUACCACCGACAGUGCUGGGGCACCUCUGGAGACGGUAAUGGGGGCAACUCUGGGGAAAGCUCAAGAGGCAGGAGAAGGGCAAGCAGAGCAGUCUCAGGGACAAGGGGAAGGGUGCCUUGCAUUUCACUGGAAAACAGCAAAUUUUUUCUGGGAGCAGCUGGAGCUUGGGGAAAACUGCUGCUUCCUGCUCUCCUCCCUGGGUCAAGGUCUGCAGAGGGAGCCAGAGCCAAGGCUGCCAAGUGUCAGGGAGACACUUCAAGGUCCCUCUGCAGUUCAGGCUGCCCAGCUGCAUGAUCUCCCACCAACACACAGGGCCCUGGCUGUCAGUCCUGUGCCUUUGGGAAAGUCCAUAGCUUUGGAAAGUACAGGAGAUUGAUCCAGUGGUCACCCAUGUCUACAGGAUUGUCAUUGGGAUGGGAAAGCCUGGGAGGUGAUGGGGGCAAAGAAGAAGGUUGAAGCCAUGUAAUGACAUAGGGAUGAGGGGACACAUCAUCCAACCUGUUUUCCCAAGGAGCAGGUGCCCUGUGAGGUGGCCUGAGCCCUGCCAUGAGCAGAAGGAUGAAAGAAAUGCCAAGCAGAAAUGGGUCAUCCUCUUCCUGGACAAUUACUGUUAUUUUUCUUUCUUUAUUUUUUUAAUGAAUAUUAUUUAUGUUAUUCAUUAAAUACUCACU